UGUGGCAUUAUCGAUUUUUCCAUCAUAGGCGAAAAAGAUGACCGUGCCUUAGUUCAAAAUUGCAGAUAACCUAUAUAAUUAAUAUGUAUUCUUGAAAUGGAUGGAUGGGUGUGAGCUCUAGAUUAACUAUGUUAAUUGCAGAUUGCCAGCUACAGGCUGGACUAUGACAUUGUGGGUAGUCUCACCACUGAUAGGGACAUGGUACUAUCGAUUGCCU
rnacentral:lncRNA from 1 species